rnacentral:rRNA from 1 species
UGCGUAGGCGGAAUGAUAAGUUAGUGGGGAAAGCCCCCGGCUCAACCGGGGAACUGCCAUUAAUACUGUCAUUCUUGAGUAUAGUUGAAGUGGGCGGAAUGUAUCAUGUAGCGGUGAAAUGCUUAGAUAUGAUACAGAACACCGAUAGCGUAGGCAGCUUGCUAAACUAUAACUGACGCUCAGGCACGAAAGCGUGGGGAGCAAACAGGAUUAGAUACCCUGGUAGUCC